UAAAUGGCUAAGAUGAAGAGGAGUAAAAAUAUUAAGCUUUAUAGAGAGAAGGGAUUAGGUGAGAGCCCUUUAAGUAAGAUAUUUUGAAGGUAGCUUCGGAGCUUCUUUAGUGAAAUAGUAGUAGCUAAAGACGGUCUUUAAAGGAUCGUUAUUUGAAUUAAGAGCUUAUAAUGAUUAAAUAUUUAAUCAUUAUAAGAAUAAAGGUGGUACCACGAGCUUUCGUCCUUUUU
rnacentral:ncRNA from 1 species